rnacentral:rRNA from 1 species
GUGGGGAAUAUUGGACAAUGGGCGCAAGCCUGAUCCAGCCAUACCGCGUGGGUGAAGAAGGCCUUCGGGUUGUAAAGCCCUUUUGUUGGGAAAGAAAUCCUGUCGGUUAAUACCUGGCGGGGAUGACGGUACCCAAAGAAUAAGCACCGGCUAACUUCGUGCCAGCAGCCGCGGUAAUACGAAGGGUGCAAGCGUUACUCGGAAUUACUGGGCGUAAAGCGUGCGUAGGUGGUGGUUUAAGUCCGUUGUGAAAGCCCUGGGCUCAACCUGGGAAUUGCAGUGGAUACUGGAUCACUAGAGUGUGGUAGAGGGAUGCGGAAUUUCUGGUGUAGCAGUGAAAUGCGUAGAGAUCAGAAGGAACAUCCGUGGCGAAGGCGGCAUCCUGGGCCAACACUGACACUGAGGCACGAAAGCGUGGGGAGCAAACAGGAUUAGAUACCCUAGUAGUCC